UCCUGCGGAGGGAUCAUUACUGAGUUUACGCUCUACAACCCUUUGUGAACAUACCUAUAACUGUUGCUUCGGCGGGUAGGGUCUCCGUGACCCUCCCGGCCUCCCGCCCCCGGGCGGGUCGGCGCCCGCCGGAGGAUAACCAAACUCUGAUUUAACGACGUUUCUUCUGAGUGGUACAAGCAAAUAAUCAAAACUUUUAACAACGGAUCUCUUGGUUCUGGCAUCGAUGAAGAACGCAGCGAAAUGCGAUAAGUAAUGUGAAUUGCAGAAUUCAGUGAAUCAUCGAAUCUUUGAACGCACAUUGCGCCCGCCAGCAUUCUGGCGGGCAUGCCUGUUCGAGCGUCAUUUCAACCCUCAAGCUCUGCUUGGUGUUGGGGCCCUACAGCUGAUGUAGGCCCUCAAAGGUAGUGGCGGACCCUCCCGGAGCCUCCUUUGCGUAGUAACUUUACGUCUCGCACUGGGAUCCGGAGGGACUCUUGCCGUAAAACCCCCAAUUCUCCAAAGGUUGACCUCGGAUCAGGUAGGAAUACCCGCUGAACUUAAGCAUAUCAA
rnacentral:rRNA from 1 species